rnacentral:lncRNA from 1 species
CCUGGCUGGCGAUUCUCUCCAGUCAUAUCCCAUAUCUACAGGAAGGGGAGCAUGAACCUUCGGCAGGCAGCUGCCCUUUGUUACCUUAGACAUCCAAGCCUUCUGGUGACAGUAGUGCAUUAACACAGCGACACCUCGCUGAAAGCGGCCCAGGGUUUGCUGGUUCAGAUCCCGGUGCAGACAUGGCAUCGCUUGGCAAGCCAUAUUGUGCAGGGAAGAGAAGGAUUGUUACUGCCCAAAGUGAGUCGGCUGCCUGCUGCAAGACGUGCCAGUAGCCAAAGAGGCAAGAUGGUGGAAGAGAAGGGACUUUAUUACAGCUUGCUAGUAAGGGGG